rnacentral:lncRNA from 1 species
CCUCAGCACCACAUAAAAAUAAAUAAAUAGAAUAAAGAUAUCGUGUCCAUCUACAACUAAGAACUAUUUUUAAAAAUCUCUAGGAGAAGAAGAAAUAAAAGAUUGAGAAGCAACAAUAUAGGGUCCUGAUGAACAGUUUUCCAUUGAAUGUCAGUGUCAAAAUGAAAAGAAUGUCAAAAUUGUGACCCAGAGUAUGCUGACUAUCCUGUCAUGACGGCUCCGUUUAGACUUAUGUUUACUGAGUCACAAUAUAAGCAAGGCUUUGUCACUGUGGGUUUCAGGCCAUGAGCUGGAGACCUCGGGUACCUGGAGCAGUGGCAGGGGGCCUUGCAGCCUGCUCGGGCCUCUCCGGGGCGUGGCUCUCUUUCUGGAGGCUUUCCCACCUGGGGCAGCCGUCCCUGGGCCCAAGCCCACCUCCCUGAAACCCCAACUUCAGCUGACCUGCUCUGUCCCCCACGCAGUAACACCAUGCUGCCGCACAGAAUGGCUUUGUCAUGUUGUCCUGCCGCGUUCUUGCUCAGAGGCCUGGGUUCCUGCCCAACCUGCCUCUACCUGUCUAGCUUCCACUCACCCUCCAUCACUAGCUCAUCAGUUAAUUCCAGGCGGCUUUCCAUGACUGGAGGUGUUUGCUUAUUGCUUUGCCUUUUAAUUUUCUAAUAUCCAGUUGGAACUUUGUUGUGUGUGUGUGGGGGGGGGGGCUUAUUUGGUGGCUGCCUUCAAGUUCCAGUAGACUGUCAUCGCCUUGAGGGCAAAGCAGUUUCUUUUGGUUUGACAUCUUUGCAUCCUUGGCAGGACCUAGUAUAUGCUCAACUAUCACUGUGGAAAGAAGGGAGGGAGAGAGCAAGGUCUUGCCAUGCGAUUUAUAUGGGAAGAAAUGUACAAGCAGUAGCUUAAAUAAGAAUGGGAUUUCAAGUCUACCGAAUAUCUAUUCUUCAGUAAGAAAAAAGUUAUUUUUCAAAAUGAUACAAGUUGUAUUUUGGAAAAAUACAAGUUGGAGAUAUUUUUUUAAUUCUAGUUCAGAUUGGAAAUUUUGGAAGCCCACUAGUUGUCAUGGAGACCACCAUGUUAAUCAGGUGGUCAUCAGGUUAAUGAAUGAAUGAAUGGACAUUUGCUGCAUCUCUGGUGAAAACCAGGCAUGAACUGAAAUCGAAUUCCAAGCAUGUAUGGUUUUGUCAGGAUGAACUCAACUAUUAUGUACGACUACACUGCUCUAAUGUAAAAAAGAAAGAGGGCUGGGGUUGUGGCUCAGCGGUAGAGCUCUCCCCUAGCACAUGCAAGGCACUGAGUUUGAUCCUCAGCACCACAUAAAAAUAAAUAAAUAAAAUAAAGGUAUAAAGAAAAAAUAAAGAAAAGAAAACCAGGCACUGUGUUAAGCACUUUACCAAGGGUUUCAAGCCUCCAAAUCAGCCCUGUCACAGAACCGGCCAGUCAGGAGUUGGACCCUUCACUGAGUCAGCUUUCACAGGGACAAACAGCCUCAGGACAGAAGAGCUCAGUCUGGGAACAAAGGACAGAGAUGUGUCCUUGAGGGGAUAGUCCCUGGAACCAGGAGUUUAAGAAUUUUGUUAAAAAAAAAAAGAGACUAAGAGCCAGAUGUGGUGGUGUAGGCCUGUAAUCCCAGCGACUCUGAAGGCUGAGACAGGAGGAUCGUGAGUUCAAAGCCAGCCUCAGCAAAAGCAAGGCGCUAAUCAACUCAAUGAGACCCUGUCUAUAAUAACAUACAAGUAGGGCUGGGGAUGUGGCUCAGAGGUCGAGUGUCCCUGGACUAAAUCCCCAGUACCAGAGAGAGAGAGAGAGACACUAAGGGGCUAGGGUUGUGGCUCAGUGGCAGAGCACUUGCCUAGCAUGUAUGAGGCACUGAGUUCUAUCCUCAGCACCACAGAAAGAAAGAAAAGUUAUUUAAAAGAGAGAGAGAGAGAGAGAGAGAGAGAGAGACACUAACUCUGGUUACAGGCAUAUAGCAUUACUACUUAUGCAUAAAAUACCAGAUGAUCUACUGACAAACUUUCAGAACUCUCGGGAGUGUUCAACAAGGUCCCUCAAAACAAGAUCAGUAUGCAAAACCCGUCAACCUUCCUUUUAUCAGUGAUAGUCCAUUAGCUCUGAAAAUGCCUCAGAAAAAAAAAACUCGUGGCAACAAAAACUAUAAGACCCUCAGAAACAAAUCCAAUAAAAGACACAAAAUCUUUACUGAAGGACAAAAAGACCAGAAUAGAGAGACAGAUUCUAUUUAUAAAUAGGAAGAAGCACUUUCAAUCAAGAUCCCAGCAGAGUGUUUCUCAGGGUAGGACAAGAAUAAUAGAGGAAGCUGGGCACGGUGGCGCACGCCUGAGAUCCCAGCACUCUGGAGGCUGAG